CUGUCCUGAAUCAUAUUAUACAUAAUAAUUAUGAUGAUACUGUCUUUACUUAGAAGAGUGACAUCAUGUAGUUGAGAGUCUAUUAUUUUAGGCAGCAGCUGUUAAAUCAUAACAG